rnacentral:lncRNA from 1 species
UUCGACGUCGGCUUUGUUUGAAGAUUCUUCCUGGUCAUCGACGUAUUGAUUCGCUCCUAGGGACUGGAGAUUUCCAACAAGGGUUUUCUUUCUCAUUGAGAUGAGGUCGGCUAGUGCGGACAAGUAGAGGACUACCGAAGGAAGCUCAAAACAGCGAUCGACAAAGUUGCCCGUCGCCAGAGACAGUUGUUUGAGAGAGUCCAGCCCACCUCUGCAUAAGGCUCCGACGAGCUUCGCUCUUUGAGGGGGACCAUGGAAGGACUGUCUGUGGCCCUUGGGCGGGAGG